CCUACGGGUGGCAGCAGUGGGGAAUAUUGGACAAUGGGCGAAAGCCUGAUCCAGCCAUGCCGCGUGUGUGAAGAAGGCCUUCGGGUUGUAAAGCACUUUCAGUGGGGAAGAAAGCCUUGGGGCUAAUACCCUCGAGGAAGGACAUCACCCACAGAAGAAGCACCGGCUAACUCCGUGCCAGCAGCCGCGGUAAUACGGAGGGUGCGAGCGUUAAUCGGAAUUACUGGGCGUAAAGCGCGCGUAGGCGGUCUGAUAAGCCGGUUGUAAAGCCCCGGGCUCAAACUGGGAACGGCAUCCGGAACUGUCAGGCUAGAGUGCAGGAGAGGAAGGUAGAAUUCCCGGUGUAGCGGUGAAAUGCGUAGAGAUCGGGAGGAAUACCAGUGGCGAAGGCGGCCUUCUGGACUGACACUGACGCUGAGGUGCGAAAGCGUGGGUAGCAAACAGGAUUAGAUACCCUUGUAGUC
rnacentral:rRNA from 1 species